UACGUUGAUUAUGUAAGCACUUUAUAACUACAGAGUGUUGCAUACCAGCUCCUUUUCCCCGCAUCAGAAUCAGCCAGAAACACAUUCAUGGAGUUAAGAUAGUCAAAAGAAUGUCAACACGGGAGCUAGAACAAUGUCAAUAAAAGGUCUAAGCUCUAAGCAUAACUCCAAACUACUGAAAUGUGAAUUAGUGAAUAACACAAGAACCAUGAUUUCUAAUGAGGUAAAUCCAAUUAUAUUUCAAAAUGAAACACCCCCACCUGACCAAACACAUUGUGAUGAGAUGACAGCAGCUCUCAACAUUCAGUUGUCUACAACAUAAAUAGGUGGAUGCUGCGGGCUUCUGUUGCUUCCUCAUAAGCCUUAGAUGUGUUUAUUGGUGUUGUUUUUUGGGUGCUUAAGAUCUCCAGUGAGUGGAGAAAGUGUGUGUACAGGAUGCUCUGCAGGACCUAUAAUCCAUUCCCAGCAGUCAGUCAGUGUUUUUCCACCAGUCAAUAAGUAUUGCUGUUAGUACACCUGGCGUGACAUACUUUGUGUGGAUGUGCAAACAUAACAAAGGCACAGAAUUAGCUUCAGAACAAGUAGUGAUCUUGUCUAGGAUACAUCUCAGACUUUGCAUUUUAAAAGAUUUUCAUUUGUGUUCUGGCAGGUUUAGUGCAGUCAGAAAUAAAGGUAUGUGUUAUGUUUAGUUUAUGUGUUCCACCUUAAGAAAGAAAGAGAUGUUCCACCUUAACAAAGAAAUGUCAUUGUUGAUAAAGUUUGUUCAAGUUAGUGAGGUCACUUCCUGAAAAGGUUAAGAAGAGAAGGCUAAGAGAGACACAUGGUUCAGAGGUUCUUAUCAUCCAAUGCCAUCUGCAUUUAAGAUAGACAAACAAAUGUCUUUUUACUCCCUGUUCACUGAAAGAGUCCAGUAAAACGACUAAACUUUACUUCGACGACUCAUCUGAUUCUUUGAAAGGAGUUAAGCUUGGUGUUAAGUCUACGGAUUUGCAUGUCCUGACGAGAGCACUACAGUAUGGAAUUAUCUUAUUAUUAUUUAAAGUUUCACCACUGUUUUUAUUGUUUGUCAAUAAAUAAUCUGCACUAACAUAUUUACAUUAAA